UCGUCACACUAUCAUUAACUGAAUCCAUAGGUUAAUGAGGCGAACCGGGGGAACUGAAACAUCUAAGUACCCCGAGGAAAAGAAAUCAACCGAGAUUCCCCCAGUAGCGGCGAGCGAACGGGGAGGAGCCCAGAGCCUGAAUCAGCAUGUGUGUUAGUGGAAGCGUCUGGAAAGGCGCGCGAUACAGGGUGACAGCCCCGUACACAAAAGCGCAUGUGCUGUGAGCUCGAUGAGUAGGGCGGGACACGUGGUAUCCUGUCUGAAUAUGGGGGGACCAUCCUCCAAGGCUAAAUACUCCUGACUGACCGAUAGUGAACCAGUACCGUGAGGGAAAGGCGAAAAGAACCCCGGCGAGGGGAGUGAAAAAGAACCUGAAACCGUGUACGUACAAGCAGUGGGAGCACAGGUUUACCUGUGUGACUGCGUACCUUUUGUAUAAUGGGUCAGCGACUUAUAUUCUGUAGCAAGGUUAACCGAAUAGGGGAGCCGGAGGGAAACCGAGUCUUAAUUGGGCGUUAAGUUGCAGGGUAUAGACCCGAAACCCGGUGAUCUAGCCAUGGGCAGGUUGAAGGUUGGGUAACACUAACUGGAGGACCGAACCGACUAAUGUUGAAAAAUUAGCGGAUGACCUGUGGCUGGGGG
rnacentral:rRNA from 1 species